rnacentral:rRNA from 1 species
GACGAACGCUGGCGGCGUGCUUAACACAUGCAAGUCGAACGGAAAGGCCCUGCUUUUGUGGGGUGCUCGAGUGGCGAACGGGUGAGUAACACGUGAGUAACCUGCCCUUGACUUUGGGAUAACUUCAGGAAACUGGGGCUAAUACCGGAUAGAAGCUCCUGCUGCAUGGUGGGGGUUGGAAAGUUUCGGCGGUUGGGGAUGGACUCGCGGCUUAUCAGCUUGUUGGUGGGGUAGUGGCUUACCAAGGCUUUGACGGGUAGCCGGCCUGAGAGGGUGACCGGCCACAUUGGGACUGAGAUACGGCCCAGAAUCCUACGGGAGGCAGCAGUGGAGAAUAUUGCACAAUGGGCGGAAGCCUGAUGCAGCAACGCCGCGUGCGGGAUGACGGCCUUCGGGUUGUAAACCGCUUUCGCCUGUGACGAAGCGUGAGUGACGGUAAUGGGUAAAGAAGCACCGGCUAACUACGUG